rnacentral:rRNA from 1 species
CUACCGAUUGACGUGCUGGUGAAGCGUUAGGACUGGAACUUCGGGCCGGUUUCCCUAGCCCAUCGUUUCGGGAAUUUCGUUGAACCCUCCCGUUUAGAGGAAGGAGAAGUCGUAACAAGGUCUCCGUAGGUGAACCUGCGGAGGGAUCAUUG